UACGUAGGGAGCAAGCGUUGUCCGGAAUCAUUGGGCGUAAAGCGCGCGUAGGCGGCUCGAUCAGUCUGUUGUGAAAGUCAAAAGGCUCAACCUUUGAAUGCCGAUGGAUACUGUCGAGCUAGAGUCCGGAAGAGGCGAGUGGAAUUCCUGGUGUAGCGGUGGAAUGCGCAGAUAUCAGGAGGAACACCAACGGCGAAGGCAGCUCGCUGGGACGGUACUGACGCUAAGGCGCGAAAGCGUGGGGAGCGAACAGG
rnacentral:rRNA from 1 species